UACAGAGGGUGCGAGCGUUAAUCGGAAUUACUGGGCGUAAAGCGCGCGUAGGCGGCUUUGCAAGUCGGGUGUGAAAUCCCCAGGCUUAACCUGGGAACUGCAUUCGAGACUGCAUUGCUAGAGUAUGGGAGAGGGAAGUGGAAUUUCCGGUGUAGCGGUGAAAUGCGUAGAUAUCGGGAGGAACACCAGUGGCGAAGGCGGCUUCCUGGCCUGCUCUUGACGCUGAGGCGCGAAAGCUAGGGUAGCAAACGGG
rnacentral:rRNA from 1 species